UACAGAGGGUGCAAGCGUUGCUCGGAAUCAUUGGGCGUAAAGGGUAGGUAGGUGGUUUCAUUUGUCUAGGGUGAAAGCCUCGAGCUUAACUCGAGAACUGCCUUUGAUACUGAAGAUCUUGAGUUCGGGAGAGGUGAGUGGAACUGCGAGUGUAGAGGUGAAAUUCGUAGAUAUUCGCAAGAACACCAGUGGCGAAGGCGGCUCACUGGCCCGAUACUGACGCUGAGGCACGAAAGCGUGGGGAGCAAACAGG
rnacentral:rRNA from 1 species